rnacentral:lncRNA from 1 species
GGAGAAUGUUAUGCUACACCACAGCUAUGGAAUCGCAAGACCUUAAAUAUGGGACAACGUACUGGGUACUUUAAUAAGUAAAAUGCAAAAGAAACAAGGAAAAGAGGAAAUUGCAAUGUAUUGGUUUUUCGUUCUUGUUUUUGUUUUUUUGCCUCUGUCAGUGGAAGUUACCCGGCCAGGGUUGGAACCCGCACCACAGCUGUAACCAGAGUCACAGCAGUGACCAUCCUGGACCGCUGAGCCACGAGGGAACACCUAUUGAUCUUAUUUAGAUUGUGAUUCAAAUUGUCAAGUUUUUUUGUUUUGUUUUGGGUUUCGGUUUUUUUUUUUUUUUUUUUUUUUUUUGUCCUUUUGCCUUUUCUAGGGCCGCUCCCACAACAUAUGGAGGUUCCCAGGCUAGGGGUCUAAUCCGAGCUGUAGCCACCGGCCUUCACCACAGCCACAGCAAUGCCAGAUCCAAGCUGCAUUUUCAACUUACACCACAGCUCACAGCAACGCUGGAUCCUUAACCCACUGAGCAAGGCCAGGGAUCAAACCUGCAACCUCAUGGUUCCUAGUCAGACUCGUUAACCACUGCACCACGACGGGAACGCCAUGAUAUAUUCUUUUGAGGAAGAUUUCCUUUCCUCAAUGUUAUGUUUUUGAGAUCUGUGCCUGUUGAUGCUUGUGUCAAUAAUUUAUUCCUUUUUAUUGCUAACAGUAUUUUUACAUCUCAAGCUGCCAGACUUAUUUAUCCCAUCACCAAGUGAUAGAUGUGUGGAUUUUUUCUAGUUUUGAGCUACUUAUUAUAAAUAAAUCUGCUAUGAAUUGUCACGGACAUAUCUUUGCAUUAACAUAUGUUCCCAUUUAUUUUAGGGGAAAUACCUAAAAGAAGGCCGGUAGAAUGAUAUACAGAAAGCUCUCACGGAGAUGCCUCCUGGCUCCCUGGGGAAAAGAUGUCUGUGUGUUGAUGAGGUGGGUGUGAUCACCUCCGUGGCUGGAAGACCACCGAUGGGUGGACAACACAGUCACGCUUCAGUUAUUGUCCUGCACCCAUGAGUCGCAUGCAGAUACACUCUGCCCUGGAAGUGAAUCCACUCCUAUGCUGGACAUCCCCAGGCUCAUUCUUCUAAUCAUCAGCCACGAGAGACACUGUGUCAAGAGAGACUUUAGGAUUUGCUUUAUCUAUCCAUUCCCUUAGCUCUUCUGUAGGAAUAUAUAUAUAUAUAUAUAUAUAUAUA